UACGUAGGGUGCGAGCGUUAAUCGGAAUUACUGGGCGUAAAGCGUGCGCAGGCGGUUUUGUAAGCCAGAUGUGAAAUCCCCGGGCUUAACCUGGGAAUGGCGUUUGGGACUGGGUCGUCUAGAGUGUGGCAGAGGGAGGUGGAAUUCCACGUGUAGCAGUGAAAUGCGUAGAGAUGUGGAGGAACACCGAUGGCGAAGGCAGCCUCCUGGGCCAGCACUGACGCUCAUGCACGAAAGCGUGGGGAGCAAAC
rnacentral:rRNA from 1 species